AAACUAGGGUCUAAUACCGGAUAGGAGCGYCYACCGCAUGGUGGGUGUUGGAAAGAUUUAUCGGUUUUGGAUGGACUCGCGGCCUAUCAGCUUGUUGGUGAGGUAAUGGCUCACCAAGGCGACGACGGGUAGCCGGCCUGAGAGGGUGACCGGCCACACUGGGACUGAGACACGGCCCAGACUCCUACGGGAGGCAGCAGUGGGGAAUAUUGCACAAUGGGCGAAAGCCUGAUGCAGCGACGCCGCGUGAGGGAUGACGGCCUUCGGGUUGUAAACCUCUUUCAGUAGGGAAGAAGCGAAAGUGACGGUACCUGCAGAAGAAGCACCGGCUAACUACGUGCCAGCAGCCGCGGUAAUACGUAGGGUGCGAGCGUUAUCCGGAAUUAUUGGGCGUAAAGAGCUCGUAGGCGGUUUGUCGCGUCUGUCGUGAAAGUCCGGGGCUUAACCCCGGAUCUGCGGUGGGUACGGGCAGACUAGAGUGCAGUAGGGGAGACUGGAAUUCCUGGUGUAGCGGUGGAAUGCGCAGAUAUCAGGAGGAACACCGAUGGCGAAGGCAGGUCUCUGGGCUGUAACUGACGCUGAGGAGCGAAAGCAUGGGAGCGAACAGGAUUAGAUACCCUGGUAGUCCAUGCCGUAAACGUUGGGCACUAGGUGUGGGGACCAUUCCACGGUUUCCGCGCCGCAGCUAACGCAUUAAGUGCCCCGCCUGGGGAGUACGGCCGCAAGGCUAAAACUCAAAGGAAUUGACGGGGGCCCGCACAAGCGGCGGAGCAUGCGGAUUAAUUCGAUGCAACGCGAAGAACCUUACCAAGGCUUGACAUGUUCUCGAUCGCCGUAGAGAUACGGUUUCCCCUUUGGGGCGGGUUCACAGGUGGUGCAUGGUUGUCGUCAGCUCGUGUCGUGAGAUGUUGGGUUAAGUCCCGCAACGAGCGCAACCCUCGUUCCAUGUUGCCAGCACGUAAUGGUGGGGACUCAUGGGAGACUGCCGGGGUCAACUCGGAGGAAGGUGAGGACGACGUCAAAUCAUCAUGCCCCUUAUGUCUUGGGCUUCACGCAUGCUACAAUGGCCGGUACAAUGGGUUGCGAUACUGUGAGGUGGAGCUAAUCCCAAAAAGCCGGUCUCAGUUCGGAUUGGGGUCUGCAACUCGACCCCAUGAA
rnacentral:rRNA from 2 species